rnacentral:rRNA from 1 species
AGCGAACGCUGGCGGCAGGCCUAACACAUGCAAGUCGAGCGCCCGUAGCAAUACGGGAGCGGCAGACGGGAGAGUAACACGUGGGAACGUGCCCUUCAGUUCAGAACAACCCAGGGAAACUUGGGCUAAUACCGGAUACGUCCGUAAGGAGAAAGAUUUAUCGCUGAAGGAUCGGCCCGCGUCUGAUUAGCUUGUUGGGGAGGUAACGGCUCACCAAGGCGACGAUCAGUAGCUGGUCUGAGAGGAUGAUCAGCCUCACUGGGACUGAGACACGGCCCAGACUCCUACGGGAGGCAGCAGUGGGGAAUAUUGGACAAUGGGCGCAAGCCUGAUCCAGCCAUGCCGCGUGGGUGAUGAAGGCCCUAGGGUUGUAAAGCCCUUUCGGCGGGGAAGAUAAUGACGGUACCCGCAGAAGAAGCCCCGGCUAACUUCGUGCCAGCCGCCGCCGUAAAAC